GACGUCGAUAUUCGACGUCAUAAACACGAACAACUUUGGUGUUUAUGACGUCGAUAUUCGACGUCAUAAACACGAUCAACUUUGGUGUUUAUGACGUCGAUAUUCGACGUCAUAAACACGAACAACUUUGGUGUUUAUGACGUCGAUAUUCGACGUCAUAAACACGAACAACUUUGGUGUUUAUGACGUCGAUAUUCGACGUCGUAAACACCAUCAACUUUGGUGUUUAUGACGUCGAUAUUCGACGUC